rnacentral:rRNA from 1 species
GAUGAACGCUGGCGGCGUGCCUAAUACAUGCAAGUCGAGCGAACAGAUGAGGAGCUUGCUCCUCUGACGUUAGCGGCGGACGGGUGAGUAACACGUGGAUAACCUACCUAUAAGACUGGGAUAACUUCGGGAAACCGGAGCUAAUACCGGAUAAUAUAUUGAACCGCAUGGUUCAAUAGUGAAAGACGGUUUUGCUGUCACUUAUAGAUGGAUCCGCGCCGCAUUAGCUAGUUGGUAAGGUAACGGCUUACCAAGGCAACGAUGCGUAGCCGACCUGAGAGGGUGGUCGGCCACACUGGAGCGGGGACACGGUCCAGGCUCCUACGGGAGGCAGCAGUAGGGAAUCUUCCGCAGUGGGCGAAAGCCUGACGGAGCAACGCCGCGUGAGUGAUGAAGGUCUUCGGAUCGUAAAACUCUGUUAUUAGGGAAGAACAAAUGUGUAAGUAACUAUGCACGUCUUGACGGUACCUAAUCAGAAAGCCACGGCUAACUACGUG